UAUAUAUAUAUAUAUAUUUUUCAUUUCUAGAUUUUUAUUUACUAUGUUUUUGUGUUUGUAUUUGUAUUAAAAGUUGUUUAUAGUUUUAAUCCAAUCAUUUACACCUUAAUUCAUACGAUUCUUUUCUAUUACCUCUAUUUAAUAAGAUUCAAUUUUUGAUCAUAUCCCUUGCCGUAACAUAGUUCAUCAAGCUUUUUUUUCCCAUUCAGAACCAAGUAAUAACUAUUUAACAUAUAUAAUGAGUUAUUGAAAAUGAACUUUUAUAUAGUCUAUUUAAAUUUUUUUUUUGUCAAGCAUUUAUUAUGGGCCCCGAAAAAAAUUUCGCCUAUAGUCUCCGAGCACAUAGGGCCGGCCCUGCAUGCAGCCGUACGUCCAUGACCUCAGAGCGGCCAUGAGGGUUGCAGUUAAAACUACGCCCUCCUCUGGCCGCCAGUCUCCGGCCUUUUCAGAACAUUACGGUACUAUAUCUUAGCCUCUGUGAAUGUUCUUUGUCUCUUUGAAGGUUUCACACUUUCACUCAUCCGAAUAUAUUUAACUAGAUAUUAUGCGGCCUCGCGCCGCCUUACUGUUCCCCGUGAACAGUGUCAGUUGGGCUUGGGCCGUUUUCUUUUUCUUCCUCUCUCUCGAUCUCUAAACCCACCACCCACCUCAGUUUCCAUCAGUUUCCAUUAGUUUCCAGAGCUCUCUCUCGAUCUCUCUACACUCCACCUCUCUUAACCUCUGCUUCCCUCUCUUUCAGUCUCUGCGCUUCUUCUCCUUUUUUUCUGAUCGAUCGAAGAUCAAAGAGUACACUGAUUGAUCCAACUUUAGAUUCGUUGCCGUCGGUCUUGCACACCUCUGGAAGAAUCUGGGCUCCUUCUCCUUUUUUUCCAAACAGAAGCAGAGAGAGGGAGAGACUACAGUUCGUUGAUCGAUCGAAGAGCAAAGAGUUCACUGAUCGAUCCAAGAUCAAAUUUGUUACCCUGUAAGCCUCCCGAUCUUCUUUCUUCUUCUUCGUUGAUUACUCUGUGUU
rnacentral:lncRNA from 1 species